AUAUCACUCUCUGCAUCAUACUGAAAAGUUAUCUCAAAGAUGAACAGCUCCUUUAAAAUUUGAGUUUUAUUAGAGGAAAAGAUAUCUUGAAGCACAAUAAUGGGCAAUUUUGAAAGUUCCAGGAUAGUAGUUUAAAUGUCAAGGCAUUGGAAGUGACUGACAGUUGGUUGGUAGUGGAAUAGCGAUUGGUAAGGUUGGCGGUGGCAGUCUGCAGAGAGGAAGGUCAGUUAAAUGAAGUACAUUAAGAUUCCAGAAUGUCUAGAUUUAACUUGGGGACUGCCUGCUCAAUUACAAGUUAAGAAUAAGGCUUUAAAUUAAUGUACCUGAAAUGAUCUCUCUGGGUCAUUGCCAUUGUCAUUAUAUAAACCAGCAGCCUUUGAAGAGAAUCAUACGGUAUGUUGGAGACCUGAGGCUUUGCAAUCACCACGUGGCAAGUGACUUUUGCUGAAAGAAUGUGCAGGAGAUUUAUAUAGAGCAAGCACAGCCACCAAAUAGUAAAUUACAGUCCUGCAGUAUCUCUGCUCGGAACAAAAUGCAAACCAUCAUUUUCCAAAUGUGCUGCUGUAUGUGGUGCUUUCAUCUGCUGCCAGAUUUCUGUAGCUGCUCCGUCUGCUGUGCUGUGGCUUUCCCCCGUUCUGAUGACAUAAGUGCUAUUGUAAUUUUCCAAAUGAUAUUGAAAGUGGGUCUAUAAUCCUGCCCGGCAGCAUGCGGGAGUCCAUUUCUAUUCAUUGCUGCUCAAACGUGACCAUCAUGCUUUGCUUUUCAGCAGAUGGCGCUCACGGUUAAAUCUUCUGCACCACCACAUUCUACCUUUUCCUCCAAAGCAAACAUAAUCCUUGGCUUCAUUUUUCCUUGCCAGGCACUUACUCGGCUUCCAGCUGUGGAAAGCCCUCUCCACAUUAGAGAACAAUGAAAACGAUAUUCCUCUUCAAUUUCCACUUUCAUUACCCUGAGGCUUUUGGCUGAAUCUUUUAUUCACAUGCGGCCGGGUCCAUAUUCAUUUCAUAUUUCUACUAAUUCUACACCCCCCUAACACAAGAUAAAAAGUUCAAUUGAAUUAAAUAAGCAGAGUAUUUUGAGGGCAAAAUGUACAAACUGAAAAAACUCUUGGCUUUAAGUUUUUAACUUGCAAUUCCCCUAGAGAUAUUUUAUGAAGUUUUGAAGGAUUUAGUAAAUGUCACAGGAGCUUCAGGAUGGAUUUCCUGGGGUCCUACAGAGAAGCAAUUAGAUAUAGAUAGUUGUUAGUAAUGUGGGGUUUUCUAUAGUUCCAUUGUGAAAACAAGCAGGCCCAAAGGUUCAGGCCUAGGACAGCAGGAUUCUAGGGGGCUGUAUUUGCAGACUGCAGUGGGUUGGCAGUCGAAUAGCUGUCUCCUUCCCAUCAAGUAUUUGCAGUUGGACAAAGGUGUGUAGUGCAAGCGGUGAGGAGAUGGAUUAAAAAGUGAGACUGGGGUGAAUGUACGAGGUGGGAUGUGUGCCUAGGGGCUCCUAUCAUCAAAUCCAAACUUGAUAAUAAGGUGGAGCUGAAUUUUCUGAGGCUGGGGCACAUUAGGGCCUAGGCCAACAAAAAGAUACUUUGGCAGGCCAGUCUGCUGGUGUCUAGCAGUCUGUAGACUAUUUGAGUGUCAGUCCAGUUUACAGCAAGCUACAGGGCAUAUAAAUUCUCAAGACGUAAUUCUGAAGACCUAAAUGACCCCUCCGAGCAAGGUCAUAUAAAGUCAAAUGGAAAGGUUAGCUGUGUCACACAAAGCACACACCAAGCAAACCAUUGACCUUUUCUUCCACCCCCCACCACCAAAUUCAUCCUCUGCUAAAAACUGUAGCAAGAACUGGAAAGGUGACAGUCUUGAAAUUCCCGUAUUGGAAGGCAAUGGCUGCUGUAUUGUAACUUAGCCCGGAGCCAUUUGUACAAGUGAAAAUGGAAAAGUCACUUAAAAUUCCUCCUUUGAUUUGCAAGGUGUACAGUAUGAUGUUAGACUUGCUUUUCCCAUGACUUAGUAGGUGUUCAGGCAUGACCACAGGCCGGGGCCCUAUUGCAAGCUGAGUCAUACAUUUCUUGCCAUUUAUUGGAUUCUUCAUAAAUGGUUAUGGUUCGGGAGGUUCCCGGGGACUGAGUUCUAGUGGGCAUUCUGAGCAGUUCUCCUGUUUCCUAGCGUGAAUACUGCAGCCUUUGUGCGGUUACGCUUCUACAUAGUGGGAGCAGUGUGCUAUAUAUAUUUAUGUAUAUAUAUAUAUUUGACUGAUGCUAUGAAGUGUAACCCUAAAUAGACGAAUGAAGGUGUCUACAAUGAACAUGUCUCAGCACAACAAUAUAAAUACUGCCCUGAUCAUUAAUACAUUUUUUUUGUAAAGUUCCAGUCAUUUGCCAGUUUUUUUUCCAGUUUAAGUUGAGGUCAGAGCUGCAUGGAGGACACAGUGGCUAGAGGUUGUGCGAGGACAGUCUGGGUUUCUCCUGAUUUCCAGACCUGUAAUUUAAUCUGCAGAAACGCUCCUGUUAUCAGACGACAUUAAUUAGAAAGUGUUACUGCGAGGAACGAGAAGGCCCCUAAAUGGGCUGGAGAAAUGAAAAGCAGAAGACUGAAGAAUUCCCUCCAAGCACAGGCUGUGUUAGUGCCCCUGAUUCCAUCUGUACCUGGAGGGCAGGAAUCCAUGAUUGGCUGCUUUGGAAUUUAAGCAAAUCAAAAAGCUGCGUUCAAGCUGCAGAACACUGAGAAAGAUGCCAUUGUUCAGCAGUGGGACACAGACGUUUGGCCAAAGUGGGAGGAGAGCUGAGAGAGUUAGUCUGAAGACACAGGGGUUUAUGUAGGAGAGGAGCCAUUCAGGCACCUGACAGACAUGGGAUGGAAGCAGGAAGUGGAUACACAGAGAAGAAUGAGGUCAUCCUUUGUUUUUCCCGCCUUUAAGGUGAUGAAGGAACGCAUCGGCUAGUUAAUGAAGUCCAACGACCCAUCGGCGCCAUUCUCUUCAUUGUAAUCCAAUCGUUCAGACAUUGUUCAGAUUAACUCGGCGAGAUAUCACCAAACGAACGGAUCUUAUCGCAUAUGGUCACUUUAGACCUUUGAGAAAAAUGUCAUUGAGUGAGAAAUCUACAUUUACUAAAGAAAGUAACAGCACAAUUUAUCAGUUCUAUCUAUAGUUGAACCCCAAGUAAGUAGCAUUGCAUAGGAUGGCAAGGUUAAUGCUGGAGUUGUUUGCAAGCUAGUUUAUUCUGCAAGUCAGUGGAUCAAAUAUUCAUUCAUAUCCAUUUAGGGCUGAUCUGUCUUGAGAAUUUUGGGUAUUUGGGAAAAUAAAUGAGUGUUUCAAUAGCUUGCACACACAGCCCAAAGGAUCAAUAAACUGAGCAGCUAUGGCCGGGCACAAGGAGUCAUUGUUCUCAGAGGUAAAUUAAAAGCUAAAGUUGCACGUUUAAUGGGAUUCCUGUCAGGGGGAUUAGGUUCCCACUCCAAGUAGGAGAAAUUAACUGAGCAGUGGAUACAAGAGGGAAUUUUUCCAGCUGUUAGUAAAGGCCUGGGGAGUGGCAGGCAUCCAAGUGUUGGGUGUGAAUUCUGUCUGCAACACCGUCCUGUCACUUCCCUAGCAAUGCCACCUUUAUCUGCCAGCUGUUCUACCAACAAUCUGCUAGAGACGGGCACAGGGAACCCAGGGACCUGCAGUACAACAGCAACACGUGAGGAUCUGGGGAUUCCAGGUAUAAGGAAUUCUCUAAUAAUCAUAUCUGCUCCUCUGUUUAAGGUUAUUGUAUUAUUCCAAUAGUGGGUGUGUUUAUAUAUAUAUAUAUAUAUAUUUAUAGACAAUUGAUAUAUUGUUUAUGUUCUUACAUACUUUUCUUACAUUAUAGGAAUUAAAUAAAGAUAACAUAUUUACUCUUAAGGUGGUCAUACACGGGCAGAUAUCGGUCGUUUAGACCAAUUUGACAGCUUAUCUGCCAGUGUAUGUGGGCUUCCAAAGGGUCUUUCCGAUCGAUAUCUGGUC